AACGAACGCUGGCGGCAUGCCUAACACAUGCAAGUCGAACGAACCCUUCGGGGUUAGUGGCGCACGGGUGCGUAACGCGUGGGGAUCUGCCCUUUGCUUCGGAAUAACAGUUAGAAAUGACUGCUAAUACCGGAUGAUGUCGCAAGACCAAAGAUUUAUCGGCAAAGGAUGAACCCGCGUAGGAUUGGCUGGUUGGUGGGGUAGAGGCCUACCAAGGCGACGAUCCUUAGCUGGUCUGAGAGGAUGAUCAGCCACACUGGGACUGAGACACGGCCCAGACUCCUACGGGAGGCAGCAGUGGGGAAUAUUGGACCAUGGGCGAAAGCCUGAUCCAGCAAUGCCGCGUGAGUGAUGAAGGCCUUCGGGUUGUAAAGCUCUUUUACCAGGGAUGAUAAUGACAGUACCUGGAGAAUAAGCUCCGGCUAACUCCGUGCCAGCAGCCGCGGUAAUAC
rnacentral:rRNA from 1 species